rnacentral:rRNA from 1 species
GACGAACGCUGGCGGCGUGCUUAACACAUGCAAGUCGAACGGAAAGGCCCUGCUUUUGUGGGGUGCUCGAGUGGCGAACGGGUGAGUAACACGUGAGUAACCUGCCCUUGACUUUGGGAUAACUUCAGGAAACUGGGGCUAAUACCGGAUAGGAGCUCCUGCUGCAUGGUGGGGGUUGGAAAGUUUCGGCGGUUGGGGAUGGACUCGCGGCUUAUCAGCUUGUUGGUGGGGUAGUGGCUUACCAAGGCUUUGACGGGUAGCCGGCCUGAGAGGGUGACCGGCCACAUUGGGACUGAGAUAAGGCCGAGCCUACUACGGGAGGCAGCAGUGGGGAAUAUUGCACCAUGGGCGGAAGCCUGCUGCAGCAACGCCGCGUGCGGGAUGACGGCCUUCGGGUUGUAAACAGCUUUCGCCUGUGAAGAAGAGUGAGUGACGGUAAUGGGUAAAGAAGCACCGGCUAACUACGUG